rnacentral:rRNA from 1 species
CCAGGCGACGACGGGUAGCCGACCUGAGAGGGUGACCGGCCACACUGGGACUGAGACACGGCCCAGACUCCUACGGGAGGCAGCAGUGGGGAAUAUUGCACAAUGGGCGAAAGCCUGAUGCAGCGACGCCGCGUGAGGGAUGACGGCCUUCGGGUUGUAAACCUCUUUCAGCAGGGACGAAGCGCAAGUGACGGUACCUGCAGAAGAAGCACCGGCUAACUACGUGCCAGCAGCCGCGGUAAUACGUAGGGUGCAAGCGUUGUCCGGAAUUACUGGGCGUAAAGAGUUCGUAGGCGGUUUGUCGCGUCGUUUGUGAAAACCAGCAGCUCAACUGCUGGCUUGCAGGCGAUACGGGCAGACUUGAGUACUGCAGGGGAGACUGGAAUUCCUGGUGUAGCGGUGAAAUGCGCAGAUAUCAGGAGGAACACCGGUGGCGAAGGCGGGUCUCUGGGCAGUAACUGACGCUGAGGAACGAAAGCGUGGGUAGCGAACAGGAUUAGAUACCCUGGUAGUCCACGCCGUAAACGGUGGGCGCUAGGUGUGGGUUCCUUCCACGGAAUCCGUGCCGUAGCUAACGCAUUAAGCGCCCCGCCUGGGGAGUACGGA